rnacentral:rRNA from 1 species
UACGGAGGAUGCAAGCGUUAUCCGGAUUCACUGGGCGUAAAGAGCGCGUAGGUGGUUCUGCAAGUCAGGUGUGAAAUUCCCCGGCUUAACCGGGGAAAGCCAUCUGAUACUGCUGGACUUGAGGGCGGUAGAGGGAGGUGGAAUUCCCGGUGUAGUGGUGAAAUGCGUAGAUAUCGGGAGGAACACCAGUGGCGAAGGCGGCCUCCUGGGCCGUUCCUGACACUGAGGCGCGAAAGCGUGGGGAGCGAACAGG